rnacentral:rRNA from 1 species
CGGAACGUACCCAGUAGCGGGGGAUAACUACUCGAAAGAGUAGCUAAUACCGCAUACGCCCUUCGGGGGAAAGGGGGGGAUCUUCGGACCUCCCACUAUUGGAGCGGCUGAUAUCGGAUUAGCUAGUUGGUGAGGUAAAGGCUCACCAAGGCGACGAUCCGUAGCUGGUUUGAGAGGACGACCAGCCACACUGGAACUGAGACACGGUCCAGACUCCUACGGGAGGCAGCAGUGGGGAAUUUUGGACAAUGGGGGAAACCCUGAUCCAGCCAUUCCGCGUGUGUGAAGAAGGCCUUCGGGUUGUAAAGCACUUUUGGCGGGAAAGAAACGGCGUCGACUAAUACUCGGCGUAACUGACGGUACCCGCAGAAUAAGCACCGGCUAACUACGUGCCAGCAGCCGCGGUAAUACGUAGGGUGCAAGCGUUAAUCGGAAUUACUGGGCGUAAAGCGUGCGCAGGCGGUUCGGAAAGAAAGAUGUGAAAUCCCAGGGCUCAACCUUGGAACUGCAUUUUUAACUACCGGACUAGAGUAUGUCAGAGGGGGGUGGAAUUCCACGU